UGUCCUACGGGGCGCAGCAGUCGGGAAUAUUGCGCAAUGGAGGAAACUCUGACGCAGUGACGCCGCGUAUGGGAAGAAGUAUUUCGGUAUGUAAACUUCUAUCAGCAGGGAAGAAAAAGGACGGUACCUGACUAAGAGGCCCCGGCUAACUACGUGCCAGCAGCCGCGGUAAUACGUAGGGGGCGAGCGUUAUCCGGAUUUACUGGGUGUAAAGGGGGCGCAGACGGCCAUGGCAAGCCCGGUGUGAAAGGUGCGGGCACAACCCGCAGACUGCACUGGUAACUGCCUGGCUGGAGCGCCGGAGG
rnacentral:rRNA from 1 species